GACGAACGCUGGCGGCGUGCUUAACACAUGCAAGUCGAACGGAAAGGCCCUGCUUUUGUGGGGUGCUCGAGUGGCGAACGGGUGAGUAACACGUGAGUAACCUGCCCUUGACUUUGGGAUAACUUCAGGAAACUGGGGCUAAUACCGGAUAGGAGCUCCUGCUGCAUGGUGGGGGUGGGAAAGUUUCGGCGGUUGGGGAUGGACUCGCGGCUUAUCAGCUUGUGGGUGGGGUAGUGGCUUACCAAGGCUUUGACGGGUAGCCGGCCUGAGAGGGUGACCGGCCACAUUGGGACUGAGAUACGGCCCAGACUCCUACGGGAGGCAGCAGUGGGGAAUAUUGCACAAUGGGCGGAAGCCUGAUGCAGCAACGCCGCGUGCGGGAUGACGGCCUUCGGGUUGUAAACCGCUUUCGCCUGUGACGAAGCGUGAGUGACGGUAAUGGGUAAAGAAGCACCGGCUAACUACGUG
rnacentral:rRNA from 1 species